CCAAACAAACAAACAAAAAAAAAAAAACAACCCCAAACAACAGUAUCUGCAGAAUAAUAAGCUGGAUCAGUUUCCAAAAGAUGAUGCCAGAGGAUUAGAACCUCCUGCCUUGCAAAAUGGAUCUAUUUUCAUAACAUUGGAGACCCCGCCUGUCUCAAGCCAAGACCAUGAUCACACCACCCCCUCUGUAAAGUGACUCAGCACCAGUGGUCAACUCAGCAAUACUUGCUCUUCCUUCAGAAUAAAACUAAGCUCUGAACUUUUCCAGCUGAGUCAUUUCCAGGCUCAUAUUUAUAACACAAACUGUGAUUCAUUCCCAAUUUGUCUCGUCUUGGAUUUCAUGCCAGGACCAACUGGAAGAGAUAUGCCCUUCCACUCUUCCAGGAUGUAUUGCAAGGAGCUGGAAAGAAUUUUGGUGUUCUGUGUAAGCACCAUGUUAAUACACAGUGCUGAUACUGUGUCGCUGUGGUGGCAUUAUAAUAUUUUCCAUUAUUAGCAGAUUAAAUAACUUUUACACUAUUUCAGGCAAAAUUUUAAAGCAUGGACUUAUUUUCAUUUGCAAUCUUUCUGGAAAAAAAAAAGUAGAAGCAAGUUAUCUCUACAAAAUUAGGUCAUUGCAGGUAUAGGUCUUUUAUAAGUAGAAUCAGGUACUUCAAUAUUUAAAUUUAAAGGGAAAAAUACUUACAGAUAAUGGGCAUCAUCUAUCAAGGUAUUUUCUGAGAUCUCUUUCCUUAUAGCCAAACUAAUAUCCAGACUUGGGAAGAAACAGUGAAAUGUUAACUAUAUACCAGAUUUGGUGUACAUUUUUUAUUUUAAAACCAUUUCCUGUAAAGGAAAGUUGUGUAAAACCCAAAUCUGUACUUUGACUAAGGUUAUUUCUUUUGAUUUUCAGGAAACUAGAUCCUGAAAUUAUGCUAAGAUGCUAAUCAUUAAAAAAAAACAUUUCUUUUAAAGACAAAUUUAGAUGAUACACACUGUUAUCCUAGUAUGUAUCUGCCAUUAUUAAGCAGAACAUAAUGUCACUAUUUAGGAAAGCAAGGCAAACAGGAUGUGGUCCUAGAUGUGAGUACAAUAUUGAUCCUGGAUUCUGCCUAUCUUAACAGGGAAAGGCUUUUGUAUGCAGUCACUAAAAAGAGCUCAGAGCAGCGAGGUAUGAAAAUGUGUGAUUUUGCUAUCACUGGAUGUGCACACUGAUAGCAUUCUCCCUUGACACUUUUUUUCCAGUUUACUGGAUGUCCUCUCCCACUAAGUUUAGAUUUUUUCACCUAGUUAUCUCCACUGCCUUUUGAACAUUUCCUUCUGUAUCACCUAGCUCAGCUAAUUGCUUCAUGACUUCCCUUCUAAUCCAAUUUUUUCUCAUCUGUUAUUCUUUUCUAAAUCCUGGCACAAUAUAAUCUUUUUUUUUCAGAUUAAUUUCCAUGCUACUAUGUGAGACUAUCCCCAUCCUUCAGCAUCAUAGAAACAUCACAGAACAGGUCCUUUUCCUGCAGCUUGGCAGUAGAACAUUAGAACUCCAGGAAUUCAUUAAUGUUAACAGUUAAAUUAAAUAAAGGUGUUUUUAAAACUAAUUAAUUAAUUUUGAAAAAGGAAAAAAGUCAGUUUGCAGAUAAAGCUUUCCUUACCAAAUGCCAUUAAGAGCAUUGCGUUCUAUCACCAGAUAUUUUUCUCACAUAAACGUGACUGUCAGUCCCUUGGUUGAUAUGUAAAGUAAUUAUAUCAAACCUGCCAGGGUAAAUCAUUUUUAUUCAUAGAGAGUAAUACUCAAGCAAGUUUUCUGCUUAAACAUGAUGCAGAAACAUUUUGUAAAACAUCUUGUAGCAACCUACACAAAAAAAAUCAGUGAUGGAGCCCUAAUUUUGAGCUAAGAAUCAUGCAGUCCCACUGAAGUCUCUCUUGGCCUGGACUGAGAGAUGCAGGGUUUGCUGAAGAUAAAGAUAUACCCCUUUAAAAUAAACAAGCACUUGAAGUAGUUGAAUAUUACUAGUUUUAAAAUAUCUGAGCCUUGUAUAUCCCCAGGGUCUCUUUGUUUGCAUCUCCUUAAACAAUAAAAGCCAUUAUUAAGAACAUGAAUAAUGUGGCAUGCUAUCAUAUUAGGAUAUAAUUAAAAACAAGACAGCAAAGCCUUAAAGCUGUGCUGAACAUACCACAUAUAUUGCAGUCUUCUACAUUUGUUCUGAAUUAAAAUUCUGCUUCUUUCCUGAAACCUCUCAUCUGCUCCUCACACAGCAGCUAGUGCCUAUUUGAAAAAAUAUUCACUUUUGGCAGAACAGCUGUACCAUUAGCUCUGGACUGGGGGAGUGGGGGAAACCAAUCUACAUGCUUCCCCAAGCACCCUUUCUCUCUGGCUGUUGGGGAGGGCUUAGGGAGCCACGGGAGCAGGAAAACUUCACUCCUCACAGAGCAUCUCGUCAUGUGGCCAGGCUGACAGAUCACCAAACACCCAGCCCCACAGUCUAUCCCCUGGAGGCAGCACAUCUACCCCCUCUUUUCCCAAGGUACCAGCUUCCACUCUACAGCAGUCCCAUGGGGGCCUCUUCCACAGCAAAAGGACUGAAUCUGCAGCUGUGAUCAUAGCCAGGACUUCUUCAGGACCAUUCAGACUUGUAUAAAACGAAAUUAAGGCACCCACACAUUCUUCCACCGAGCACUCCAUUCUCAGAGCCAGCUUUCUCUCACUAAGCUAUUUACCUAACCUCAAAUACCGUGCUAAAAGCCAAGAACAUGGUGGCAGGUGACCUAAUUGUACUCAGCUAUCAGUUUACUCAGAUCCAGGAGUGAUGCCAGGCAAACACAGACUGCUGUAGGAACCAGUGCUUUGUGACAGCUCCUCUUCCCACCUUCCCUGCUGCUGCAGCUGGUUGGCAUCACAGAGAAAAGCAAGCAGAAGGCUCUCAACCUGCCUAAAGCCUCUGCAAGUGGUCAGUGUGCUCUGCCGAUUGAUUUUAACUCACAAUUCCUCUCUUCCUUGAAGAGUAACCAGGCUAGGUCCCUUAAGCACUGCCCAUAAUGCCAACCUAAACCUCUUCAACUCCAUAACCUCCUCAGACUUGUCAGACUGUGAAGAAAUCACCAGGACUUUGUGGCCAGGGAGAAUGGAGGCCCUCGAGGGCAAGAAGGAGCUCUAAGAAGUAUUCAGAUAACAACCUGGGGGCUGCAUUUCUUCAGCCAGAGGUCAGAAGAGUUCAGAGGCUUUGGGGAUGACCAACAAAACUAUUAGUUGCAGAUAUUCCAGAAAUAUGUCUGGAAAAGGUCUUCCCAGGCCUGCUCAGGACCAUUGCUAAAGCCAGCUGUGGACUCAUACCAGACCUGAAACACUGGAAACCUGCUGAACAAGGAUGGCAGCUAUAAACAGUGUAGGUUCUUUGGUGUCUGGCUUUGCUUUUGUGGUUUUGUCUGAAGAGGUGAGUGAGCUGGUGUUGUCCCAGCUGAAGUGGCUCAGCACACAAACCUUUAACCAGUCUGAAGGCUAAUCCAGCAAAAUACAAUGACCUAUUGCUCCCUUGGGCAGGAUUAAGAGCUGUUUAAAAUGAAAUAUACUUGGGGGAGAGAUAUGGGUGAUACUGGGGACCCCCAACUGAGGGGUUUCUAAUGCCUUUCCUUGUGUUCAUGGGCUUUUCUGUUUUAUUGCCCAGGCAGUGAAACUCUAGCUCUUGAUUGCCCAAAAUUCAGCUAGAAGAUCAGACUUCAGCCAGGAGCUUUGAGCGACUCCAUAAGGAAUAUCAACAGGGACAAAGCCUUCCCCCUCACACACUAUGACCUCUACCAGUGAGAAGAGGUUUGGUAGGGGGAAGUGGUUGGUUUGACUUGGGGGGUGAAUUUUGUUCUUUUUCAGCCAUCAAAGCAUUAGACUUCUCAGGAAUAAAACACAUGGUAAACCGACAAAUUUGUUCAAUCUCCUGACACACUGUCCUUAGCAUGACCAGCAGCUCAGAAGAUUUCAGAUCUGUCAACCCGUGCCAUGGCCCUACCUUAUGAAGCAGAGAUGCCGUGUCACAGCAGUAUAUUCUUACCCAAGGGUCCAGUAGAAACAUGCCACGUUGCCCAUUCAAGCAGAGAGCAAGGCCUGGUUUCAGAUACAACUUUUCAGAUAAAACUUUUCAGAUGUGGGUAGAGCCAGUUGUGACAGAAUAGUAAAACUGAAAAGACAAGCUCUUGAUGAAGCUUUUUCCGAAGUCUAGAGUGCUGCUAUGGAGACCAUCCUUGAAAGCAGGCUCAGUGCCUGUUUUGCAGAGCUUUCAAGUUUUACCACAGGGAAGGAAAGUGAUCUUUAGAUUUUGCCCUGUUGCCUGAUCUAUUGCUCUAUGUCUUGUUCCUGCCUCACCAGGGCAACAACUUCUUAUUAUCUGUAUUGUUUCAGCUAAUUAUUCCAUUAAUGAUUCAGCUAAUAUAGUUUAAUACAGGAAGUGUAGAUGUCACAUCAUUAAACAAUUAUUUACGUAUUCUAGACCUUUACCAUAAUCCAACUUGAGAUUUGUUAAUUUAUUUCUCCUCUGGUGUUUAUGAGGUAUGACAUCCUGCAAGCAACUAAUUCUGGGUCUCUGUUCUCUUUGAGAUUUAAUCAGCGUUUGAGACUUACUUCUGGUAUUAUGCCAGGAUAACUAGAAAGCAAGAACAAGCAAGCUUUCCAGCAUUUGGCAGCUCCUUUAAAACAAGUAGAAUUUUAGCAGUUGAUGUGAAACCCAUAAAAAC
rnacentral:lncRNA from 1 species